AAUUAACGUUUUUUGCAGAUGUAUUCCUUUUUGAUUUUACAUCUAUUACAAAACUGUGGAUGGUCUCUUACUGUUCUGCAAUCCUGGAAUUCUUGCACUGUGUGUGUGAGAGACAGCAUAUACAUACCAGCCCUGCAGGUUGCACACCUGUAUAAAUAGAAUACUUUGCCCUAACCAUGGUACUCUGAUUCCUUUACAGUAAGCAUCCAGGGAAAUGUAGCAGUCCCAAGGGACAGCCUUCACUCUUACAGAUCAUAAAACAACAACUGUCUUCAAAGACUGCAUCUUCUCUUGUGAUUUAUGCCUCCGGGGAUUAAAACUGCAUGGAGAUUACAUUCCCCAGGUAGACAAACUGAUCUUCUGUAGAGACGGAUGAUUGACUUCUGACCCUUUUGUCAGCAUUAUCUCUGUAAAAUAAGACUUGUGCACUGAUCUUUUUACAUACAUAGAUCUUUUUCAAAAUUUAUAUGUGCUAUAAACAAGCAAAGGCAUUGCAUGCAGUAUGUUGGAACUGAAGUAAUUUUGCAUAUUUAUGCUUGCCAACACUGAAUUGUGAAUUACAACUUGGCUAACUCACAUGUUUGUUUGGUGAUAUUUGUACUCACCUUCUGAAGGAGAGGUUUGUGAUUAAAAGUGGCAGCCUCCCUAAUGCAAAAUUUAAUGACACAGGAGGAACAUUAGGGAAAAGAGGAGAGGAGAACCAUGAACUCAUGGCUGGUCAGCUAAAAAUUUUUGUCUAGCACGUUGAGGUGAUUGCUGUCUGAAACCAUACAUACCCAAAGUCAUAAAAUAUAGACAGAUUGCUACACUUGAUCUGAACUUCAGCUAUUUAAUGCUUUGGAAUCUAAUGUAGAAAUAACUUUAUCUGAUCUAAAUCUAAUGCUUUGAAAAAGUGAGAGCUUUCUACAAUUUAACGUUAUUGAAUUCCAUAGGUUUGAAAUAUGUUGCAUGGUUUGUGCAUAUUGCAUUCUUCAAGAAGGAGAAAAUCUCCACUAUAAAUGUUAGAAGUUGCCUUGAAAGGAACGAACUGUAGUAUUAAUACAACUGCAAACUAUUGCUAUCCUGAUGAUUCUUAAUGACGUUUUGCUUAGAAUGUAAUAUUUCCUUGUUUGCUUUCCCAGCUGUCUAGAUUCAUAGAUUUUAUCAAUAGUCUCAACAACAGUUUUCUAUGUUUUCUCCUCGUGUCAUUGGACGUCUGUGCUGAAUUAUUUCCAGACUCCAGUAGCCACUGCUGUAUGCAUGGCUGAAAGAGUUAAUUUUCUAUCUUUCAUUGAGGUAGGAAGAUAGCUGGUACUAAAGCUGUGCAGUUGAUGUUUUCUUCAUAAAAUAUUAUUUAAUGUUACAUAUAUUGUUAUGUUGCUGUUCAUCACUUUACCCAUCAUCUGCUUUUAGCCAGGACAUAGCUGGGAAAAGCUGGUUCAGUGCUUCAUACUGUGGCAGUGUUAGGAGGCUGAGGAGACCUGUGGGAAGACAUGGAAGUAACACAUCUGCACUCUGAGGAUGAGUGACUGCCAGCUGUGUUUUACGUUGAAUUUGUGGAGAACUACGUCUUGCUUGCUGCUCUUGGCCAGCCAUGGCAAUUUGUAUGUAGGAUUUCUGUGUCUCUGCUACCCCGUAUGUUAUGAAUAUUUCUUUUGGAGUAGGAUGUUGGUGCCUAAGCCUAAGAUUAGAUGCUGGUAUGUGAUACGUUGUUUACUGCGUUGUAUCGUACCUGGAAAAAUAAAGUGAAGCACUGGAAAAAUGA